GCCAUCUUAGCUCAGUUGGUAGAGCAGCGGUUUUGUAAACCGCAGGUCGAGGGUUCGAGUCCCUCAGAUGGCU
rnacentral:tRNA from 1 species